CCAACCACCCUCUAGGCUGUGCCUGUGGGCUGUCAAGCCUAGAGAUGUCCACAAGGAGCCUGCAGGAUGGAGACCAACAGCUCAGACAGUGGACAGUCCCCCCGGGGGCUGGUCAGGUCCCACUCAACCUGUUCUAACCACUGGCCCACCUGCUCUCAACCUGGUGCUGGCUCCAGUCUGGGAAGGGGGUGGGCAGUGAUGGGAAACCACCCCCAACCGCUCCCCUCCCCGCAUCAGGAUUCUGUUUACUGCUCUGCCUUCUUGGGGCCUCCUGCUUGUUUUGAACAAACAGCUCCAACUCCAUGAAAGCCGUUGAUGAAAGACUCAAAGCAUUUGCAUCUCAUCACUCUGGCCUCUCAGAGCACCCACAUCAUUUUAAACAAUGAUCUCUUAAAAAGAUCCCUGCAAAGCCAGAAUCAUUCAAAAAGGAACUCACUGCUGUAAUGAACACAAAUGUAAUUCUGAUUUGCUGAUCUGUAACUCGUCACUUGCUGUGGACACGUGUAGGAAGACACAGGACCAGGGUCUCCAGGAGACCCGGACGCCACCCAAGCCAUUGCUCACUCACUAGCUGGUUGACCCUGGGGGAGUAGCUUGUCUGCUUCCUCUGCAAAUCGGAGAAAGAUCUGUGCCCUGUUCUCUCACCCAACCAUGAUCCAGAGUAACAGCCUGCAAGGGAGAGUGGAACAGAGGGAGCACCCAAGUUCCAAGUCUCGGGUAGACACUCACUCUCUUUUCAGGCCUGAUCACGCUGUCCUGGCCUCUCACUCAGGUGGUUUUCUGUUCCCUGGGCACUAGGAAGACUUCACCUCCUCUCCCCACUCUCCACUGAACCACACAUCCAGUGGGUCUUUACUUGAAACGAAAAUUAUUUUUAAGGAUCAUUAUGGCUGAAGGCUUCCAAAUUUUACUUUGCUUGUUUUAGUCCCGGAUUUUACAGAUGCAGAAAGAAAAAAAGAAAGCGCAUCAGGAUUUAGGAAGCCAGUCUUGGAAAUGUCAAAUCAGGAGACACCACUCGGAACAAAGAUGUAGCCCUGGCUCUAAACCCUCCAGCAGCACAAUGUGGCCGAGGUGCCUAUGGGGGUGGGGGUGGCAUUUAUGCCCUGCCUGCGUUUGGCUUAAGAUCGAGACAACCGAGGAGCUGGACUUCCUAAUAAACAAGAUCACGGGGGAACUGAGACAAAUUCAGUGGGUCAUUAUCACGACAUCCAGAGGCUGUUGGAUAGGGCCAGACUCUCGACAGACUGCCGAGGUUGUCCUGGACCUGUUUUUUUCUUUUAAAGAAAGUAAAUGA
rnacentral:lncRNA from 1 species